rnacentral:rRNA from 1 species
UGGCGCACGGGUGAGUAACACGUAGGUAACUUGCCCUUAAGAGGGGAACAACUCAGGGAAACUUGAGCUAAUACCCCAUAAGACCACGAACUGAAAUGUUAGUGGUAAAAGGAGUAAUCCGCUUAAGGAUGGGCCUGCGGCCUAUCAGGUAGUUGGUGAGGUAACGGCCCACCAAGCCUAAGACGGGUAGCCGGACUGAGAGGUCGAACGGCCACACUGGAACUGAGACACGGUCCAGACUCCUACGGGAGGCAGCAGUGGGGAAUUUUGCACAAUGGGCGAAAGCCUGAUGCAGCGACGCCGCGUGGAGGAUGAAGGCCUUCGGGUUGUAAACUCCUUUUGCAGGGGAAAAUAAUGAUGGUACCCUGCGAAUAAGCCACGGCUAACUCUGUGCCAGCAGCCGCGGUAAGACAGAGGUGGCAAGCGUUGUUCGGAAUUACUGGGCUUAAAGGGCGCGUAGGCGGUGAGAUAAGUCUGAGGUGAAAUCCUAUGGCUUAACCAUAGAACUGCCUUGGAAACUGUUUUACUUGAGUCAGCGAGGGGAUGGUGGAAUUCCCGGUGUAGCAGUGAAAUGCGUAGAUAUCGGGAGGAAGGCCGGUGGCGAAGGCGGCCAUCUGGCGCUGAACUGACGCUGAGGCGCGAAAGCGUGGGUAGCAAACAGGAUUAGAUACCCUGGUAGUCCACGCCCUAAACGGUGGGUAUUAAGGUGUAGGGCUCGUAAGGGUUCUGUGCCGUAGGGAAACCAUUAAAUACCCCGCCUGGGGAGUACGGCCGCAAGGUUGAAACUCAAGAAAUUGACGGGGGCCCGCACAGCGGUGGAGCAUGUGGUUUAUUCG